rnacentral:rRNA from 1 species
UACGUAGGGGUGCAAGCGUUAUCCGGAAUUAUUGGGCGUAAAGAGCUCGUAGGCGGUUUGUCGCGUCUGCUGUGAAAACCCGAGGCUCAACCUCGGGCCUGCAGUGGGUACGGGCAGACUAGAGUGCGGUAGGGGAGACUGGAAUUCCUGGUGUAGCGGUGAAAUGCGCAGAUAUCAGGAGGAACACCGGUGGCGAAGGCGGAUCUCUGGGCCAUUACUGACGCUGGAGGAGCGAAAGCCGUGGGGAGCGAACAGG